CGUAUAUUUUGUAAAGAUAUUUUCGUCAGCAAAAGAGAACAUUGCGUCUAAAAACAGCCGGUUGCCGAGGCAAGGGACACAGGUGGGCUAGCUGGCUGGUCUCCUGUUGUGGCCACGACAAGCUCCCCUUGCAAACUUCCUACGCCGUCAGGCAACUCUGUGCCAAGGCUGCCUCGUCACGUGUCCAUGCUCUUCACUGUUGCCUGCUGUUUUUACCCGCUGUCAUUGUGUCUGUUAUCAGCGAAUUUAAGCAAUCAAGAAAAGAAUGGCAGUUCACUCUUGCAAGAUGACCUUAUACACAUAGCCAGCUGGUGGCAGUUGUUUAUUUUUAUUUUGGAGAAAAUCAUGAAGAUUUCCAAUCAUCAAGAGAAGCUUAUCAAAGCAAAUGAUUCUGCUAUGAAUGAGCUUAAGUCAAGGUAUUACCUCAAGUCUCCAACAUAGGGUAAGGCUUGAAGUUCUCAAAUAACUAUCUUAUUUUGACAGAUUUUUAAAGCAGCUAUUAUUGUUGUUGUUGUUGUUGUUGUUGUUGUUGUUGUUGUUUUAUCACCGGUACAUACUGCUAUCAUGGACACUGGAGGGGGUCUACAUAGGGGGUAAUGAUAUGUUAUCCAGCAAGGUCUGUUUUAGGUUUGAUUUCCUAGAUUUUGCUUUGCUCUUUGCAUCACAUUGUGCUAAAAGUAAGCCACAUUAUGCUGCAACAAGACUAAAUUAUUUUAUGUCAUAUUUAUUUAUUUGUUUAUUUAUUUAUUUAUUUAUUUUAUUUUAUUUUAUUUAUUUAUUUUUUAUUUAAUUAAAUUAAUUAAUUAAUUAAUUAAUUUAUUUAUUUAUUUUAUUUAUUUAUUUAUUUAUUUUUUUUUUUUGUGUGUGUGAAGGAGGUAAGAUAAAGCCUGCAAAAUUUUCCCAGCUGUCCUUUCAAUAGGUGGUCAGGCAUUGCCAUGUAGGACCCUGUCACUGCCAUUCCCUCUCUAUAACUUCUAGACUGUACUUGUCCACCAUUAAUUUGUUGCAAUUAUUUAUUGGCAGAAGUUAUGAAGUGUAAAAAAUUUAUCUGACAAGGCUGCCAUAAGGAACCACAUUACAAGGAGUGACUGGAAAUUAAUCUCCAGACUCAGCACACACACACACACACAGAUGUGAAGCCUUCACUGCUGUGCUGACUUGAUCAGCACCAUCACUGCUUCCCUUCAAGCCUGAAUAAUUCAGCAGAACUUGGAUUGUCUAAACUCUUAUUUCAACAUGUAGACAAGCACAUAUGUAUGUGCAUGCUCAUUCUCUCUUGCUCCAGCAGUUUAUCCUUCCUUUUGACUGGAGAUGGCCUUCUUGCACCUAAUGCAUCUACUACCUUUGUAUACACACUUGUAGUCUUAUCUUACACAGUUUGGUCUCCGUCUCAUAUCGCCUUUCAUGCUUUCAUAUGACAACCUUGACACUUAAAUAUAAAUAAAUAUUUAUCUCCUUCAUUCACCCUAAUCAUACAUUUCUUUGGACAUUAAACUUUAUGGGAGUGAUCAGAUGACCAAGAGAAGGAGACCUUUAUCAGAGACUGAGAAGACAGACGAAUGACAAGUGGGUAUCCUGGAGGAGGUGCCAAGGAUGAAGCUGGACUGGCUGAAGACAAGAAGGACAAUGUCAGCUGCUUUGACCUGGAUGCUACUCUGAGGGAGGGCAUGGACUUCCUGCUGGAUGAGGGAUGAGGUGCACCUAAAUGAAGAUGGCAAUGAGAGGACAUGUAGGCAGCUGUGAGAGUGGAUGUGUGCAAAGUCCAUUGUGUGCGUGGACUCUGCCCGAAUGAGGAAUAGGAGUGCACCAAAGCAAGGAAGAGAAAACACCAGACAGGAGUUGCUGAUAAAAAGGCCUGGCUCAGGAGUAAUCCUGAGCCACCUGUAGCAUCAAGAUCAAGGUAUAUAGUGAAUAAAGGAAGGAACUGAGCAUGCAAGUAGCAGCAUGGAAGCAAGAGUGUCCUGGCCUGGUUAGACCUUCCUUUGGAGUUUGCAAACAUUCUUGCAGCAGUUGUUAACAGAAAAGUUCCAGCAGUAGGGGGAGAGGAGAAUUCUGUGGAAGAAAGGUUUAAAUUAUUUUAGUAUUCACAGAUCGUGUUCAUCAUAGAAAUUACACAUUCAAAGCAUAUUCUAGUGAAGGUCACAUUCUGCAUUUCCCUCAAAAAAUAAACUUAGCAAUAUGGGAAACAUUUUGUUGUCAUUGUGGUGGUGGAGAGAAAAUUUCCUGUGGCUGGCUAAAUCCCACCUUAGUGGCCCCCCAAAAAAAUUGAUAGCUAUAGUCUUACCAACUCUUCUUAGACUGACUGUCCUCAGCCACUCUCCACAUCACAGCUGCAUUUCAGUGCCUCUCCAUCACAGUUGCAUCUCUUAUUAUCUUCUGCCCCUAUUUUAAUGCUAACUGCUCCUCUGAUCUUACUAACUGUAUGCUUUCCCUCUUCCCAUGGGUAUUUUCUACCCCUGUUUUAAUGCUAAUUGUUCCUCUGAUCUUGCUAACUGCAUGCCAACCCUCUUCCUGUGGCCUUGCUGCACAAGACUAUCUUCUCUCAUCCCUGUUGUCUACCUCUAUAAUUCAAGAAUUAACCAUUAUUUCUCAAACUUUCAUCCCUUUUACCAGUAAUCUCAGGAACUCCCUGCCUGCUUAUGUAUUCCCCCUUCCUAUGACUUGAAUUCAAUCAUUAUUUCUCAUACUUUCAUCUUUUUUACCAGUAAUCUCAGGAACUCCCUGCCUGCUUCCAUAUUCUCCCUUCCUAUGACUUGAAUUCUUUCAAAACACUCAUCCUCCAACUUUGGCCAAUCCACUUGGCUGUGCAUCCUGCCCCUCCAGGUCUUCACUGCAUGACACUGCAAAGAAAACACUGGCUAUGACAUGCGAAGCAUUUGAUUUUCUUUUAAGAUUAUGGACCACAUUCUGAAACAUUUCUGGCUGUACCUUGAUUGUUUUCAAAAGACUCUAGUUGAUGUUACACAGGUUAUUUUUUAUUGCUGUAGUGACAGAUCAGCAAAAUUUCUAAAUCAACAAGCAUGAGAAGCUGACUACUAAUUAUCUCUGUGGCCUCUGAGAAUAGUUGUGGUGAGAGCAGGGUGUUUGUGAAUACAGGCUAGCAGUGUAGGUCAUGGCAUUUGUCAGCCAUCAGUGUAACCUGCACAGGUUGUCUGAAGGCUUGGUGGUGGAUGAGGAUUUAAACUUCUGAGAGUCUAAUUUCCUUGUUAGUAUCUGCAACUAAGAGGAUUGUAAAAUUACUUCAGUUGUUACAAGUUAUGUUCUUAAUGUAGAUUUAUUUAUUAAUUCAAAGCUAAUAAAUAUUCAUGAUUAUAUUAUGGUUUUGUUUACCUCAUUUUAGAAUUUACACUUUUUUACCUUGAUUAGCAAACUACACUCCUGCAGCAUACAUAUAUCCUUCCCUGUCACUGGCUUUGUUUAACCUCAUUUUAGAAUUUACACUUACUUUUUUGCCUGAAUUAGCAAACUACCCUCCUACAGCUUCUAUCCUUUCCUGUCACUUGAGAUCGUUUCUGACUGUUGCUGUGGUAGAUGGUCACUUCUAAGUCUAUUGACAGUGGUGUUCUUUGACGUUCUAUCCUGUCACCCACUUUCUUCCUAUUCAUCAAUGAUCUAUGCUGCUGAUACCACCCUGCAUUUUUCCAUGUUUUUAUUCAUAGAUGUCCAACCCUAUAGGAAUUAUACAGCUCACACAGAGAAGUCAAAGAACAGCUGACUUGAGAUAUCCAAGAUUUUUGAUAGUGGCAGAACAAACUUAGUAUUGUUCAAUACCUCAAAAACUCACUCCACCAUCUAUCAAUUCAACACAACCUUACAUAUAAAACUAUCACCUCUUCUUCAGUGACAUUCAACUGUUCCCUCCUACAUUGAUCAACCUUGGUCUGUCCUUUACUAACAACCUAAACUGGAAAUUUUACCCUGGGCAAGGACAUACGAGUAUUUAGCCUGAGGAUUCGGAUAGCCAUGGCACAUGGCUGGCUAGCUAUGGGGGUCCCUUCACACACACCCACUAUGUACAGCAGUGUUCGCCUGAUGUCUUUUCCGGGUGACAUUUUCACUUACGCUGCUACAUUCAUCAACUAAAAACAAUCAUAAUGCAAUUUCUUUAUCUUCAGUACCUACAUCGUAUACCACCCACGGCGUCUCUUCACUUUUCGCAGCCGUGCUGGCAGUGGCAGGGCAGAGUUUUGUAGCGUUUCAGGCGGUAUUUGUAAUUGCCGCCUCCAAAACAUGCCACAUUCAUGCCAAAUAUUUUCUAUUGGGCUGUUUGCUGGCUAAUCAUCAGUACAUAUGACACUUCAAUCACGAAGCCGCUGCUUAACAAAUUUUGCAUUGUCUCGAACGCAUCACACAAAUGGUCAUUCAGCAGUUCAUAAUACACAUAUAGAGUGAAAUUUGUUGCCAGUACUAUUAACGUGCCUAAUCAUCUUAGAGAAAGAACCCCACACCAACAUAGAUUUAUUAUUAUUAUUAUUAUUAUUAUUAUUAUUAUUAUUAUUAUUAUUAUUAUUACUAUUAUUAUUAUUAUUAUUAAUUAUUAUUAUUAUUAUUAUUAUUAAUUUAUUUUUUUAUUUUAUUUAUUUAUUUAUUUAUUUUUUUUAAGGGGUAACGAGAGUCGAGGGGAUCGCUACCCUUACAGCGAUACACACUUGCACCUCUAUUAUACACGUCACCGUAAACGUUGUUUUAUUCUUCCACAGGCAAGUCAGUCAUCACCUCUCUCGGCCAAGUAUUUCACAGCAGUCUGGAACCUGCACCGCCUCUAUAGAGGGGUGAGAAACGGUUUCCUUACAGUGGUCAUCGUGCCGAUGACCAUUGUAACUCAAGUAUCUGAACACACCAGCUAACCGUUUUUAUCGACAUCCUGAAACAACACAUUGUUGUUCUUUUUUAAAAGACGGGGUGUGAGAUGAGGGUUUGUUUUGAACAUCCUUUUCACAUAUUUUCCAAAUAAAAACGUUUUUUUUGUCUCCCAGAGCAAGAUAUGUGAUUGACGUUGUACAGCGCCGUUUGUCUGGUGUCCUGCAUCCUUCAAUGCAACGAUGCUCGAGAUUGUAUCCUUGGUUAAUUAUUUACUAGGCAUGUUAUGGAAUCCCGACACAGUCAACACAAGCGCUUAUCACAGAGCGGACACCGUGACCCUGUGCCGACCAGGGGAGUGGCGACACCCUGCCACCCUCUAUGACCCCUCCCAUACAGAGGAUGAUAAAUGUCGUGAGCAAAAUUAUUGCCUGAAAGUCUACAAAACCUUGCUUUGCAGAGGCGUGUCAGUCACCUGGAAAAAACUUUUAGCGAGCACUAUAUAUGAGACAGCAUAAUGCAUUUUUAUUUACUAUUUAUUUUUUUACGUACGAGGGCUUCCUGUACCGCGGGGGCAGGGGCACGUGCCCGGUGCCCCCUCUGAAAAUAGUAAAGAAUUUUGUCGUGACUGAGAACCUGCCUGAUGUUCGUCAGUACCUGUUGGCCUUACGUUGAAAUAAAAAAGAAACCAAAAGGAGCAUUGAACAUAAGAACAUAAAAAUAAGGGAAGCUGCAAGAAGCGACCAGGCUUACACGUGGCAGUUCCUGUAUGAAAUAUACCUACCUACUUCCACCUAUCAUCCACAUCCAUAAUCCCAUCUAAUCUUCUCUUAAAGCUCCCUAAUGUCUUAACACUAACAACAUGAUUACUGAGUCCGUUCCACUCAUCUACCACUAUUUGAGAACCAAUUUCUUCCUCUCUUUCUUAAACCUGAAUUUUUCAAGUUUGAACCCGUUAUUUCUUGUGUACAUUAGACGAAGCACUUUUUUUAUGCAGUAAGGGCACCGGCUAAGGGCAACAGAACUAAAAAAAAAAAAAAAAAAAAAAAAACUGAGGUGACGCUCCCCGAACAGGAUAAGUGUCUUGAAACUUCCCUCUUGGAAGAGUUCAAGUCAUAGGAAGGUGAAAAUACAGAAACAGGCAGGGAGUUCAAGAGUUUACCUGAGAAAGGGAUGAAUGACAAUACUAGUUAACUUUUGCAUUAGAGGUGGACAGAAUAGGCUUGAAAGAAGAAAGUCUUGUGCAGCGAAUCGCAGGAGAAGGGUGGGGGGGGGGGGUCAUGCAGUUAGCAGGAUCAGAAGCAGUUGCCAUGACAAUAGCGUUAGAAGACAGCAAGAGAUACAACAAUGCUGCGAUGAGAAAGAGGCUGAAGACAGUCAGAGGAGAAGAGUUAAGACGAAAAACUUUUGUUUCCACCCUGUCUAAAAGAGCGGUAUUGAGUGGACACCUUCCCCCCACCCCAUUCCACCUAGUCUAAAAGAGCGGUAUUGAGUGGACACCUUUCCCCCCCCCAUUCCACCCAGUCUAAAAGAGCGGUAUUGAGUGGACCUCCUCCCCUCUCCCAUACAUGUGAAGCAUACUCCAUACAUGGGCGAAUUAGGCCACUGUACAGAGUUAGCAGCUGGAGGAGUGAGAAAAACUGGCGGAGACGACUCAGAACGCCGAACUUCAUAGAAACUGUUUUAGCUAGAGAGGAGCGGUGACGUUUUCCAGUUUAGAUUAUAAGUAAAGGACAGACCGAGGAUGUUCAGUGUAGAAGAGGAGGGCAGUUGUAUGGAAGAUUGUGUCUAGUUGAUAGAUGGAGGAAUUGGGUUUUUGAGGCAUUGAACAAUACUAAGUUUGCUCUGUCGCAAUCAGAAAUUUUAGAGAGAUCAGAAGUCAUGUGUUUUGUGGCUUCCCUGUGUGAACUGUUUAUUUCCUGAAGUAAACAGGACCUGCAUAAGCAUUUCUACAAACUGAAGAUGAAUAAUAUGCAUCUAUUUAAUAUUUACGUUUUACAUACCAAGCCUCCCUGUACCGUGCCCCGUGUGUCCUCUUAAACACGUCCUUGACCCUGGAAAAAGUCAAUAAUUUUGUCGUGACUGAGAUCCUGGUCGAUGUUCGUCAGCACUUGUUGGCCUUGCAUGGAAAUUAGAGAGAGAAAAAAAAAAAAAAAAGGAAAAUUGUGUACAUUAGAAGAGAUCCGAGUUUGUCCCUAAACGUGAUAAGCCUGCAUCAGCACUCCCGCCAACUGAAGAUGCUUUCCUUCAACAAAAGCUGCGUGCCAAGCAUCAGCUAUCUAUUUGGAUGCAGUGUCAGCAGGUUCCCAAGCCACAGCCCUCGACUCCGAUUGGCAGUGAGUGUAGAUGAAAUGAAGAUAAAUCUGCAAUCCGUGUACUGUCUGAAGAACAUAACAUGCAUAAGAAAUAAGGGAAGCUGUAAGAAGCCAUCAGGCUUACACGUGGCAGUCCCUGUAUGAAAUAUACCUACCUAUUUCCGCCUAUCAUCCCCAUCCAUAAAUCUGUCUAAUCUUCUAUUAAAGCUCCCUAACAACUUGAUUACCGAGUCCGUUCCAUUCAUCUAUCACUAUUUGAGAGCCAAUUUCUUCCUCUCUUUCUUAAAUCUAAAUUUUUCAAGCUUGAACCCGUUAUUUCUUGUUCUGUCCUAGUUGCUGAUCCUAAGAAUUUUGCUUACGUCCCCCUUGUUAUAACCCUUAUUUCACUUAAACCUACGUCUCUCUAAAAAAUGUAAAUUUAACAGCUUCAUUCUCUUAAGGAAUACUCCUCAUCCCCUGUAUCCUUUUAGUCAUUCUCUUUUGUACUGAUUCUGAUAGACUUAUAUCUUUCCUGUAAUGUGGGGACCAGAACUGCACAGCGUAGUCUAGAUGAGGUCUGACCAGCGCCAGAGGCAGCACCCAUCGAACUCCGAGACUUUGCCCACAUGUGCUGCAUGGAUGCAGGCUGGAAAACUUCCCAAGUGUCACUAUUUGGCUUUAGGAAUGUCAUGCACGGACUUACGUAUGUGUCUGAUUGUCAAUUGUGACAACAAACCGGAAACACUUAUUACGGCCACAUAGACUGAUAGCAAUUGCUUUUUUUUUUUUUU